rnacentral:rRNA from 1 species
AUUGAACGCUGGCGGCAUGCUUUACACAUGCAAGUCGAACGGCAGCGCGGGCUUCGGCCUGGCGGCGAGUGGCGAACGGGUGAGUAAUGCAUCGGAACGUGCCCAGUAGUGGGGGAUAGCCCGGCGAAAGCCGGAUUAAUACCGCAUACGACCUGAGGGUGAAAGCGGGGGACCGAAAGGCCUCGUGCUAUUGGAGCGGCCGAUGUCGGAUUAGUUAGUUGGUGGGGUAAAGGCUUACCAAGGCGACGAUCCGUAGCUGGUCUGAGAGGACGACCAGCCACACUGGGACUGAGACACGGCCCAGACUCCUACGGGAGGCAGCAGUGGGGAAUUUUGGACAAUGGGGGCAACCCUGAUCCAGCCAUGCCGCGUGCGGGAAGAAGGCCUUCGGGUUGUAAACCGCUUUUGUUCGGGAAGAAAUCCUCUGGGCUAAUACCCCGGGGGGAUGACGGUACCGGAAGAAUAAGCACCGGCUAACUACGUG